GCAGGCCAGUUAACUCGUCAAGACCUCAUUCCAACCCCUGAAGAGUGGCACAGUAACUCAGUUCUAGGGUGUUACUGAGGACUGGCCCACAAAGAGACAAGUCGUGUAAGUCAGCAAGACAAACUGAACCUGAUCUAUUAUCAUCCGAUAAUGAUUCUUUUAAAGGAGUGACUGCGCCCUGACGUUUAAGAGAGUCCUGGUCCUUGGAAUCUGGGAUUCUACCUGAAGUCACAAGGAUGAACAAAUGGUAGAGGCCUAGAGAGAGGCGCCUGAGUGAGCCUGCUUCCUAACCAACUUCUCAGAAUUGUCUGCCGCUGGGCUGCCUAAUAGAAGCUCAAGUUCUGGGAUUCCACCCUUGAAGAGAAAUGAAUCUGCACUUCGUGAGCCCUCACCCCGUAGGCCAGCUGCUGGGCUGAGGAAAGACAAGCGGCCUCCAGAGGGUUGUUAGCAAGAAUGUCCACUUGUUCUUCAAAGGGAGAUGCACAACGCCAGGAAUUUGCAUUAAAAGCAUUUCUUGCUCCUGCCAUUAGCAUCCAAAUCAUCUUUAGCUAACAGCUGAAACCAAAAAAUGAAGAAGCUGGAGCAGCAUCUGCCCCGGGAUUAUACUAUCCAUAGCUCCUUUAUAUAGAUUCUAGAUCAGCUGCUAAACUCUUUCAAAAUGGCACUCUGAAAACAAUGAUCUACUAUUACAGACAAAACUUAGCUAGACCUGCAUAUUCCCAAAGGCUUUGUCUUUCUCUUCAGAGGGGUCAGAAAGCUGCUACUUUUUAGGGAAAGAAACUUCUUAUAGCUAUUUAGUGAUCAGUAUUUCUUGAU
rnacentral:lncRNA from 1 species